rnacentral:sRNA from 1 species
UUAUUCAGGCUUCACGUGGUAAAGUAAACACAAGAUGAAUAAUUUAAUGAGAUAAAAUAAAUGGGAAAAAGGUCAUUUAAAUCACCAUUUCGCCAUUUGUGGUGAUUUAAAUCAUAAACUUUGUUUUUUGUGAUUAAAAUGAUGUGUUGACUUCAAAUAAAAUUAAUAACUUUCGUUGACAAAGCCAAAUUAGUCACAUCCGUACCCACAACUUCUUCAUCGACACUAACUUUUUCGUGCAAGUCAUCAAGAUUUCCGUCUUCAUCUUCACCGUCUUCCUCGCCAGCAGCUUCGUAUCCAAUUUCAUCACAAUCUUUAUCUCAAUCUUCGUAUUAUUCAGUUAACGUUAUGACUAAUUUGGCUUUGUCAACGAAAGUUACUGAUUUUAUUUGAAGUCAACACCUAAUUGAUGAUUUUAAUCAUAAAAAGCAAAGUUCAUGAUAAAUCACCACGAAUGGCAAAGUGGUGAUUUAAAUGACAUUUUUCCUCCUAAAAUAAACAGAAUAGAAUAUAUGAUA